GUGUGUAUUCGCUAAUGGAAACGUUAACAGUAGAGUUUGCUGGAGUGUUGUGGUUCUAACUCCUUGGAUUCAUUAUACAUUAUGAAGAACAACUCUGUGAACGCCUACUGUAGGAAGAGCUUGACUGGCCCUGUAUAAUGAGUAGUUAAGUUAGGUGCUAUUUCGUAGCUUUCACCCCUCACGCUGCUCUCAUCACAAGGCACCCGUCGCCAGCCCCGGGGCC